rnacentral:lncRNA from 1 species
CUGAGGUUUCAGGUGGUAGAUGCCCCAUGAGACAGAGCACCCAAGACAUCCAUCUGACCACCUGGAGGAUUUAGGGACAUUCCUGUUACAGGAAUGGUCAGUGCUGGAUCAAAAGCCUAAGAGCAGUCCUUAAUUUUGUACUCUUGGGCUCCUGGAAGGCAGCACAAAUACUCUUCACCUAAUAGGCUGUGUAAUAAUGAUGACAGCAAAUACCUACUGCGUGUCUACUAUGUGCCAGGCAGUAUACAUAUUUCAUCCAACUUCAUCCUCACCGCAAACCUGAAAUGACAAUAUUAUCCUAUUCAUUUUACAGAUGGGGGCUCUAAGACUCAGAGAGAUGAAGAGACUUUCCCACAAAACUACUACGCGGCAGUUCCAGGAUUUGUAUCCGUUGUCGAACCCCAAAGUCCAGGUUCCUUUCACGAUCCAGGGCUCUGUCAACAGCGGUACCUUCAGCUCAGGCUUUCAUUGGGUCAUAAUGGGCUACUAUAGUUCUCCGAUGGGGGUUUUGAACAUAUCACCUGCUUUUUGAAAUUAAAC